GAAAGGCUCAUCGUCACAUGAAAUCACCUCUGCCACCGAUAUUUUGAGCUCAGCGUCACCGACACCGUAAUGCUGAAAACUCCAGAUUUUGGAAUUCGAAUCAAAAUCCCGUCUUCUGCAAGCAAUGCUCUUAUUUGAUAUCUUUGUAGGGGUUUGAUUAUUGAACUGAACCUGCAAUAAGAGGUCAUGGCUUCUCUUCGUCUCUUCCACUGCUCCACCUGCAACGACGAUACUUUCCAGAGGCAAUUACUCCGUCAAUGGCGAAACAAGCUCCCCAGCAGCUUCCGUCGCAAGCGUAGAAUCUCAUUUUCUUUUCAUUAUUUAGGGUUUGUGGAGAAAUCUACCAGUCCCCUGAGUUGCUCAUCUCGGAUUACUUGCGGUGUUUCGUCUGUGGAGGAAAGGAAAGAAGAGAAGAAGAUGGAGUCGAGGAAGAGACGUGGGAAAGUGCUGCUGAGUGUUCGUUUGAAUCACCAAGUUGAAUUCGGAGAGCAUGUUGCGAUGCUGGGUUCGUCGAAGGAGUUGGGAUCCUGGAAGAAGAAAGUGAAUUUGGAUUGGACGGAGAAUGGAUGGGUGUGCGACUUGGAGAUGAAAGGGGGUGAAGAGGUAGAAUACAAAUUCGUGAUUCUGAGGAAGGAUAAGAGUAUCAUUUGGGAAAAUGGCGAUAAUCGUAGCUUGAAGCUGCCAGAGGGAGGGAGGUUCGAGAUGAUCUGUCACUGGAAUAAGACCGGAGAGGCUGUGAAUUUAUUGCCAUUGGGUGCGACAGAGAAGGAGGAUACGAGUGACAAUGGGUCUGCGGUUGUUGAUGCUGAGACUGUUCCGGAAGGAGAGCCAAGCCCUUUUGUUGAGCAGUGGCAAGGGAAAGCUGCAUCUUUUAUGCGAUCAAAUGAGCAUACAAACAGAGAAACUGAGAGAACGUGGAACACUGAAGGCCUUGAAGGGUUGGCAUUGAAGUUUGUUGAAGGUGAUCGGAGUGCCAGGAAUUGGUGGCGGAAGUUGGAAGUUGUCCGCAAGUUGCUGGUAGAAAGCCUGAAAAAUGGGGACCGCUUCGAGGCUCUCAUAUACUCUGCAAUCUAUCUGAAGUGGAUAAACACGGGGCAGAUUCCGUGCUUUGAAGAUGGAGGUCAUCGUCGGCCAAACAUGCAUGCUGAGAUCUCCAUGUUCAUAUUUCGUGAACUGGAAAGAAUUUCUUAUGGGAAAGAUACAUCAGCCCAGGAAAAACUUGUCAUUUCGAAGAUUCAUCCAUGUUUACCAUCAUUUAAGUCAGAAUUCACUGCUUCUGUUCCUCUUACUCGAAUAAGAGACAUUGCUCAUCGGGGCGACAUCCCUCAUGAUCUGAAGCAAGAAAUCAAGCAUACUAUACAAAAUAAGCUUCACCGAAAUGCUGGUCCAGAGGAUUUGAUUGCCACAGAGGCAAUGCUUGCUAGAAUUACCAGGACCCCUGGGGAGUAUAGUGAAGCAUUUUUGGAGCAAUUCAAGAUAUUCCAUCGUGAGCUCAAAGAUUUCUUUAAUGCUGGAAGCCUUGCUGAACAACUUGAAUCAAUCGGGGAAUCUUUGGAUGAAAAGGGUCUAUCUGCCCUUGGUUUAUUUUUGGAGUGCAAGAAGAACCUGGAUAGGUUGGAUGAAUCAACUAAUUUUAUUAAAAGUGGUGGCAUUGAUCUAUUAAUGACAACCUUGAAAUCCUUGAUGGGUCUAAGAGCAGUAAUUGUGAAAGGUCUUGAAAGUGGUCUUCGCAAUGAUGCCCCUGAUGCUGCAAUAGCAAUGCGUCAAAAAUGGCGUCUUUGUGAGAUUGGCCUAGAGGACUAUUCUUUUGUUCUUUUAAGCAGGUUCCUCAAUGCACUUGAAGCCAUGGGAGGGUCAUCUUGGCUUGCACAGAGUGCAGGGUCAAAGAAUGUAAGUUCUUGGAAUGAUCCACUGUAUGCCCUUGUUGUUGGUAUUCGCCAGUUGGGACUGUCUGGCUGGAAGCCAGAAGAAUGUAUUGCUAUUGAGAAUGAACUCAGUGCAUGGAAACAGAAAGGUCUAUCUGAAAGAGAAGGCAGUGAAGAUGGCAAGAUUAUUUGGGCAUUGAGACUCAAGGCCACUCUUGAUAGAGCAAGGAGGCUAACUGAAGAAUAUUCUGAAGUUCUUCUUCAGAUUUUCCCUCAGAGAGUCCAGAUACUAGGGAGAGGUCUUGGAAUUGCUGCAAACAGUGUAAGGACAUAUACUGAAGCUGAGAUUCGUGCAAGUGUAAUCUUUCAGGUCUCAAAACUUUGUACAAUUCUAUUAAAAGCUGUACGUAUUGCACUAGGAUCUCAAGGUUGGGAUGUUCUUGUUCCAGGAACUGCUGUUGGAUCCCUUGUACAGGUGGAGAACAUUGUCCCUGGAUCAUUGCCAUCGUCUACUACUGGACCUGUUAUUCUUGUUGUCAACAAAGCUGAUGGGGAUGAAGAGGUUACAGCUGCUGGGAGUAACAUAGUAGGGGUGGUUCUUCUACAGGAACUCCCUCACUUGUCACAUCUUGGUGUUAGGGCCCGGCAAGAAAAGGUUGUGUUUGUGACAUGUGAAGAUGAUGAUAAAAUUUCUGACAUUCGGAAGCUUAAAGGAAAAUCUGUGAGGUUGGAAGCAUCCUCCACUGGUGUUGAUUUAUCACUAUCUUUGUUAAAUGACACCAUACAGGACCUACCUGUAAGUAAUAUGUCAAGUAAUGGGACAGCAUCCACAACUGAAGCACCAGGAUCCCAUUUUCAUUCCUGGUCUCCAGUCACAGUGCCUUAUUUAAAUCAGGGUGCUUCUGCUGCCAGAGUUCUCCCACUUGUGGAUGCAGAUACUCGCACUUCUGGGGCAAAGUCUGCCGCUUGCGGUCGCUUAGCUUCAUUGGCACUAGCUUCUGAGAAAGGUGUUGAUGCCUAGCAUGGUUAGGUUGAUGCCUAGCAUGAUCAGGUUCACCAUACAAGCAGACUAACAUCCUGGGAGUUGAAACAGGAAGGAAAACUUUUACCUUUUGGGUGGGUAAACAUGAUGGAAAUAUCAAAAGCUCUUUUCCACAUGACCAACAAACCUCCAACUAAGCCUUUGGGGGGAACAUCAACAAAAUGGGGAAAUCUAAUAGAUUGACUCAGGCGAGAAGUUUGAUAAGAAGGGAUCUUAGUUUCACUAAGAGAGAUAAGGUCAGGGCAUCACCUAGAAACUAAGUCCUUUAAACCAUGAACUGCCAGAGGGUGCUUCCCCCUCGACAGUUCCAUCUACAAAGCCUCAUCAGCUCCCGUGUGGCUGUUGAGGGCAGYUACUAUCGCCCCAUAAGACAAGCAAGAGAGAGCAAGCAAUUGACCUGAGCAGCGAAAAGUUUCUCUACCCCAGUAGCUUCUCCACCUGUAGGGUGAAGUCGUUCCCAUCUAUAAGAUGAUAAACACAGAAAUGUGCAACAAACAGAGGAAGAAAAUAAGCCAUACGAAAGUCAUACAAAAGGCUAAAACUACCAAAGCCACCAUAAUCAGAUCCAGUAUCUUUAUGAAAGAUCUUACCCGCCCCAUGACCCACAGAGCCCUCACCUUCCCGAAUCCGAAUACCUGACUCUGUUUGUUGUUGUUUGCCAGAGCACCACACUUAUUUUCCCUAGGUGAACCCAGUUUUCUGACUAGGCAAUCAGCUCUCUAAUGGAUACAGGGGAAUCGCCAGUCCAGAUAUUUCAACUGCUCAUAUUCUUUAUCAAGAUUAAGCGCUGUCACCCCUAGAUUGCUAUCGUUACUACUGCCCUCCCCCGUCCCAUCUCCCCCAACUUCCGAAAAAUCUCCACCCACUCCCCUCUCAGCAGCACCCCCAAUCAUCUCUUGCACCUUCUCCCCCAAUCAUCUCUUGUACCUUCUGCUCCGGGAAGCGAUUGAACCCUCUGGAACUGUGACCAGAACUGUCGUCCAUUGUACCUUGUCCCCUUCCACCAAUACUUUCCAGGCUUCCACUAGGCGCAGAGCAAAGUUGCGAAAGACAGGUCGCCUCCAUUCCUCUUUCAGAGUUUGUUCCGCAGCUUGCGUUCUCAGCCAGGGCCCAGGAUGAUCCAUGGUGCAAGAGCUAAAAAACACAUCUAAAUCAUCUACUGCAAGCAUGGGGCCGGAGUUACAGUUGUGAAAAUGAUGACCAACUUUACCACAGUGAUAACAAACAUAAGGAAUCUUUUUGUAUCUAAACACAGCCCAAACAGUGGGUGAAAGAAACAAGCCACAUUUUAAAGGGCAAUCCAAUGGAAUCUGAACUUUGACCCUAAGAAAGAAAUCCUUUUCCUGAGCUCCAUAGACAACACCAAUCUUUUCCUUGAUAGUAGUUCCUACAUCAGUGUCCAUUAAGUCAUAAGGGAGGUCAUGGAUCUGCACCCACACCUCAGCAUCAUUAAAUGAAAUGGAGGAGGGAACCUGACCAGCACUCCACUCUUUUAGUAAAGCCCAUUACUCGAAAACAUACUAGGGACCAUCCAUGAUGACAUUGCCAAGAUCACUAAGUUCCUUCACAGAAAUAACCUCUUUGAAGAGGCAAGAUCCUAACUUCCUCCACACAAAUAUUCCAGGUUGUAUGCAGCGCCUUGCACAAAUCAUGAAACUGGAACAUGGUUUUAGGGAAGAGGCACCCAAUAACACAGUGAAACCAUUCUUCAAACAGGCAAGGACAGGCCUACCUCUAAAGUCCAAUCUGUCCACACCUAGAUUGACUUCCUCUCGAACUGCUUGUUCGAAUGCCUGUUGUAGUUCAUACAGGUUCUCCAUGCAGACACAGACAAAAGGGAAGGACAAAGAAACCAAAGCUAAACACAAGCACCAGAAAAGGACUAAAACAAAAGGAACUCAACUGAGGGAAAGACACUAAAUAAGGGAAGAAAAUAGACUAAAAGACCCCUGACAGAGACAAAAAACUACACUAAGUCCACCCAAUAGGGAGACCCCAAAUUACAAGGAACCCAACACGGGGAAACAACUAAGGAGUUAAUGAGCAACAGACACAGACACAUCAAACAAAUCAAGCAGAAGUGAAAACUGGAACUAACUAGAAGAGUAGAAGGUCUUCAAAAUAGAACAAUCACCUUACCAGAAGAAAAGGGUCAUCUUGUUUGCGAUCGCAAUAAACAUUUAUACUUAAGGGUUUAUUGGUCAUUCGAACCCUCAACCUGAAAUUUCGAGCUACAAAGACACAAAGAUGCAGUGUGAAUUGUGAUGAGUGUGCAAGAAUUUCAGGAAUCUGAAGAUGAAGAUGAAGAAAUAGAAGAGGAAGUGAAGACAAGCAUUCUCCUUGACCUUGGGUCCUCAACUCCUUAUCUUCUAUUUUUCUUCUUUUUUUCCCAUAUUUUUCAUGGAUAUUCACUGUGAGUGGGGAAUAGGGAUAGUAUUGCAUGCCUAAAUCGAGCUGAGACUUGAGAGUGAGAUAAGAGCAAUUUCUUUAGAGCUUUAGAUGUCCAACGUCCUGCUUCUUGUUCCUAGAAGGUAUUUCAGUGCAAGACCGAGGGUAGAAGCCACUCUUGUGCCUAUUCAAGCCUGAAGAUGUUCUUCCAGCUUCAGUUUACAGUGAUCAGGGAGUUCCAGCAUCAUUUCGUGUACCUGCUGGGGCGGUAAUACCCUUUGGAUCAAUGGAAUCAGCAAUAGAG